rnacentral:rRNA from 1 species
GACGAACGCUGGCGGCGUGCUUAACACAUGCAAGUCGAACGGAAAGGCCUGCUUUCCCUUGUGGAUUGCGGGUACUCGAGUGGCGAACGGGUGAGUAACACGUGAGUGAUCUGCCCCCAACUUGGGUAUAAGCCUGGGAAACUGGGUCUAAUUCCCGAUAGGACUGCAGGGUGGUGCCUGUGGUGGAAAACGAUUUUCUAGUGGUUGGGGAUGAGCUCGCGGGCUAUCAGCUUGUUGGUGGGGUAAUGGCCUACCAAGGCGGCGACGGGGAGCCGGCCUGGGAGGGUGGACGGCGACAUUGGGACUGAGAUACGGCCCAGACUCCUACGGGAGGCAGCAGUGGGGAGUAAUGAACAAUGGGCGGAAGCCUGAUGCAGCGACGCCGAGUGGGGGAUGACGGCCUUCGGGUUGUAGACUUCUUUCGACCGCGAGGAAGCCACCUGGUUGGAAGGGUGGUGACGGUAGUGGGAGAAGAAGCACCGGCUAACUACGUG